AAGGAAAUCAACUUUGACGUUUGCCAUCAGAUGUUUGGACUCCCAAGGACGUAGAGCACUGUCGCUAUUUUGCAGCUCAGCUGUAGUUCCUGGCAUCACAGACACUUAGCGUACUGUUACUAUACAAGGAACCCAUUCCCUACAUUAGGACUAAAGGAAUCUCUGCUUCCAAUAAAAAGAAGUUCGGUUGAAAAUAUUACUCUUUACCUUGCUGGCUGCCAGCAACACAAUGAGGAAUGGAAAACACACAGGGUUCUUGCUUUUCUACGUCCUCUACCUUUAAAGCUGAAGAGAAGAGAGAGAGAGAGAAGGGCCGGGAGGAACGAACUCUACAGUAUAAUGAAAUAUGCCUACGUACCCUACAAAGAAAAGAGAUCUCAUGCAGAAGGGGGGAACUGCAAGUUAUUAGUGGCUGACAGAAUAUUGAUUCAACAAAGGAGGUUAAUUCCAAACCAAUUGUCAACAAUAUGCUGUGUCAUUUUCCUGGUUAGGAAUUAAGUUUGGUGUAUUCCCGUCCAAAUGUCUUAAGUGUGAAGUGCUGUUUAAGAACUUAAAAAACACUAAAUAUCCACUGCAUGAUUUAUUAAAAACUAUGUUAACCUAUAGCUUUGCAUUUCCAAAUUUGUAUUUAUAGGUCAUAUGUUCACA
rnacentral:lncRNA from 1 species